CCUCUCUGGCUUCGGCCCUGGGCAGUUGCCCUGCUUGCUACCCCUUAACGCCAGCCCUGGCUUUUAUAUGCAGGAAAAACAGUUAUUGUGGCACAGGUAGGUCGUGGAGUUUUUAUACCAUGUUUGGAGGGCCUCAGAAAGAAAAAGGCUGAGAACUCCUGGUUGGUUUGUUUGUUUUUUUUGUUUGUUUUCCUAACUUUUUACAUUGCUUUUUGAGGAUAUUUAGUGAAUUUUGAUGGCAAGUUAUUUUGUGCAUUCAUAUUUAAAAUUGACAAGGUAACAUAUCAUUGCAUUCCAAAUAAUGGUUAUGCCAGUCUUCCUCUGCUGUAGUUGAAAACGUAACAAUAAUAUAGUCAGAAAAGGGGAAACUGACCAUAUUC